rnacentral:lncRNA from 1 species
CAUUACUUCACCUUCUCCCAACAAUUUGGCAACGCCAAAAUCUCCAACAUGUGCAACCAUGUCUUCAUCUAGUAAAAUAUUGCUUGGUUUUAUGUCACAAUGAAUUAUAGGUGUUGGAUGUCCAUUGUGGAGGUGUUCUAUAGCUACCGCAACAUCUAUCAUUAUCUCGACCCUUUGUAUGAUAUCAAGGAAACAAUUUUCAGAAUGUAACCAUUUAUCAAGGUUUCCAUUAGACAUGUAACCAAGCACCAAGGCUUUGAAGUCAACACUUGAGCAGCAAGUAAUGACCUUCACAAUAUUACGAUGAACUAUAUUACGCAUAGCAUCACAUUCAAUGUCAAAACUCCUAAAUGCUCUCUCUGUUUGCAAAUUGAAAACUUUUAUUGCAACUUCCAUUCCAUCUGAAAGCCUCCCUUUAUAUACAUAUCCAAAACUCCCUGAACCAAGCAUAUUGCUUUCCUCAAAUCCAUUAGUUGCUCGUGAAAGUUCAGCAUGUGAAAUUCUUCUCGGUGUCUUCAAAGACAACAAAUCAUCUUUAACUGGUAGAGUUGUACUCCUUUGGCAUCUUCUAUACAUAAUAGUUAAGACUAUUAGUACUACGACAAUACCAAUUGUUGGUAAACCAUACCUAAAAGCAUGCAAUAUAAUCAUUUGGGAGUUUUUGUGGAUGUCGUUUUUGCAAGGUGGGACUAGCAAUCUAGGUGGACCACAAAGUGCACAAUUCUUCAUGAAUGAUGUGCUAGAAAUGUUUGAAAAACAUCCUUUGCUGGGAAUUUCCCCUUCAAGUCUAUUGAAAGACACAUUAAAAUACUUUAGAUAUAAAAGCUGUUCCAAAGAUUUGGGAAUGACUCCAGAGAAAUUGUUAUUGCAUAAAUCCAAGAAUUCCAAACUAAUCAACCCAUCAAAUGAUUCAGGGAUACGACCAUGUAGUAUAUUAUUUGAUAAAUCUAAUGAAACCAAAGUUUGAAGACCCCCAAAUGUGGAUAAGAUAUCGCCCAUGAGAAGAUUCCUUGAUAAAUUUAGUCUCAGUAGACUCCUAAAAUUUCCAACAUCAAUAGCAUGUGAAUUGUGAAGACGGUUUGAUGAUAAAUCUAUUUCUAAGAUAUCUUUAAGACUCCACAAAGUUGAGGGUAUUGUAGAACUCAAUUUGUUGGAAUCUAACCAAAGAUAUCUCAAAGCAGAAAUAUUACCUAAACAAGAGGGUAUGGAUCCAUGCAGCUUAUUCAACCCUAAAUGCAUCCCGUAUAGUCUCUCCAAACCACAGAGGCUUUCUGGGAUAGGCCCUCCUAAUUUAUUAGAGGAAAGAUCUAGACCUUGCAGAUUCCGCAGUCCUCCUAUUGAUGCUGGAAUGAAUCCACUUAAUUUAUUAUGGCCAAGUUCUAAAACCAAUAAGUUGGUUAAGUUACCUAUUUCCAUAGGAAUAAUGCCUUGAAGCUCACAAUUAUAGGCAAGAAAGAAUUGAAGGGAUUUUGAAAGGUUCCCGAUAUAAGUAGGAAGAACACCACUCAAUGGAUUUCCUGAAACUCCUAUGGCUUUCAAAUUCCUACAAUUCGUCAAAGAAGAAAGAAAGCUCCAGUCAUGAUCAGUAGCAGAUCCUGUGAUCAAAUUAUUGUCAAAGAUUUUGAGCACUUCAAGGUGUUUUAAGCUGCCUAGCGUUUUAGGGAUUGGGCCAGAGAAUAAGUUAUGUGACAAGGAUAGAAUCUUAAGCAUGGAAGCAUUGGAGAUAGAGUUGGGAAUGUUUCCGCUAAGUUUAUUUCCCCACAAUAAAAGAAUCUCAAGCUUUGGAGCAUUGGUGAUGGGUGGUAAAUUACCUGUAAAAUAGCAUCUUUUAGUAUACAUAUUCACAAAAUAUAUAAUACAUUAAAAUAAAAACUGUAAAACUUUAAAUCAAUUAAGAAUAAAAUUUUGGCAUGGAAAAAUGUGAUGAAAUCAAUUAGAAAGUUGAGACAUAAUAAGAAGUUUUGAGUACUAAUUAGUCUUUGUGAUUUGUAUAGACAAAACAUAUAAUACACUAAUAAUUUUUUAAAAUAUUGUAAAACUUGAAAUAAAAUAAAAAUAAAAGUUUGGCAUGAGAAUGUGGCAUCUAAUCAAUCUUAAAAAUGAGACUCACACUGAAUAAUAAUUAGUUAUGAUUUGGGAAACAAAAAUGUUAAAGCCAUUGUUUUUAAUGUAAACUGGUAUGAUUCUUAUCUAUUGGGUUAAUUAUUUAUUUUUAUUAAAUUAUAGUGUAAAAUUUAAAUAUUAUUAUUUGCUCAAAAUUUUUGUAUUUUUCGUAUAUUUGAAAUUCAAUCUUUAUAUUUUUUAUUUUCUGUGAUUUAGUCUCUCUACUUUUUUUAUUAAAAAUUUUAGGUUCAUUUAUUAACACUGUUAAAAAGUUUUUGUAUUAGUAUGACAUUUUGAAAAAUAAAAUAAACUUGAUAUCUAUGUUUUUAAUUAUUCCAAAUAUUGUUUUACUAUUUCAAGAUAAAUUAUUUGUGUCUAGACCAAUAUCUUAAGAACUAUUGUUGCAUGUUUAAUUAUUCUAAAAAAUUAUUGAUUGAGUCUUAGCUUGAUUGGCAUGUGCAUUGUUGCCAAUAUAAGAGAAUGUGGGAUCAAAUAUGCUGAAGUUCAUUAUCCUCCUAUUAUGAAUUGGGGAGUUGGUAAAGUAUUAAAUUUUGAUAUAUUUUAAAAUAUUAAAAAUUUAUUAAAAUAUUUUUUAUAAAAAUCGGUUGUACCACAAUAUACAAUUUUAAUAUCAAAUUUUUAAUAUUUUUAAAAUAUUAGCGAAUAUAUACUUUAUUUCAAGUUACACAAUUUUUACUAGUUUUUAACUUUUUUUAAAAUUUUUAUCGUCUUUUAUAAUUUCUAAUAAUUUUUUACAAUAUUUAACAAUUUCUAACCAUUUUUAAUAAUUUUAUUACUUAUUAAAAAUUAACAAAUUAACUAUUUUUUAUUUUUUUAAAACAAUUAUAUAUUUAUAAUGUAGUUAUUUUUUUAUAAUUUUAUUUGAAAUUUUAAAGUUUUUUUGGUUUGUUUUCUAGAUGAUGAUGCCAUCAUGAUGUCAUCAUAUGCCACAUGGCAAUUUAUGAUUAGUUGAAUAUCUCAAUUUAUUUUUUUAAUGUCCAAUGGACUAAACCAAGAACACUUGAUUAUGUUAGAGACUACACUAGGAAUGUUUGAUAACAUUAGGUACUAAAGUAGGAAAAAAAAAAAAAGGAGCAAUACGAUGUAGGGAGUAAACUGUGCAUUAAGCCAUUAAAAAUAUAUCUAUAAUAUAUAUAAAUGCAUGGAUUUUGAGAAACUUUUGAAAUGAUAAUUAUAUAGUCUUUGUUUUUUUACUAUAUUAUUGAAUUUGUUAUUUUAAAUAUUUUUUUAUUACUUUUAAGAUUUAUCAUAUGUAUGGAUAAGAAUUUUGGUUUUACUAAAAUAUUUGGUUAAAUAAAUUCACUUCAUAAGAAGAUUUAGCAUCCUUGUAAAUAACAAUUUUGAUUCUAUUAAAAAAUUAUUUUAAAAUAUAUAUAAUAAAAUUUUAAAAUUUAUAUUGAAUUACUUUAUACUUAAAUUAUUAUUAGAAACUUUAUCAUACACAUACGUGUAUGAGAACUAUGUAUUUAGAACAUAAAUUUGUGUUUUAAAAUAACUUAUGAUAAAUAAUGAAAUGUAUAAUUUGAAACUAUUUAAUAAAAACACAUGGCUUAUCUACAAUAUUAAAAUAAAAAUAGCUUAAAUUGUAAGCAAAACAUAAUUUAAACAUAUGAAUACAUUAAAUUAAGAAUACUAAAUGAAUACAGUUAUUUAUGAUGGUGUUGUCUUCAAUUCCUAAGUUGGUGUCAAGUUAAUUUGUGACAUCAUAAAUUUAAGGUUUUAUGUAUUGAUGUGGAUUCAAAUAUCACCAUUUUUUUUAAAAUAAAAUUUAAAAUAAAUACAUUUUCCACAUUGGUUUCUUUUCUUCUACAGACAAAGGAUUUCUAAUGAUUUUUUUUUUAAAAAAAAUUACUUAUAUAAAAUAGAUUAGUUUAUGCAAUAAAAAUAAUUUCUUUUUUAAAGUUUAAUAGAAAUUAAAAAACAAAAAAAAAAUCAAUUCAUAUAAAGCUUAUUGUUUAUUAUCAGAUUAAAAUGAUAAAAGUAUACGAUAAACCCAUACUUGACGGAAUGUUACCAGAUAAUUCAUUUUUAUUCUAGUAAAGCCCUUCAAGCUUGAGAAUAUGUUGACACAUAUCAUUAGGCAAACUACCUGAUAGGUUAUUGUUGGAGAGAUCAAUGGCCUUCAGAGAAGAAAUGUUGAAGAUCGAAGUUGGAAUCUGACCUGUAAGGCCUUUAAUUUCUCUAAUAUUAAGCAGUUCCAAACCAAGAAGAUUACCGAUUUCCUCAGGAAUUUGAUCUGCACACAUAGUCGAAAAAUCAAGAUGUGAAACUACCUAUUUUGUUAGCAUAAGUCAAAGAGGUUUUCUUUUCUGUUCUACAUAAUUUGCAGAUGUUAGAUUUUAAUAUUUUUAAGCAUAUUUGUUUUCAUCAAAUUAACUAUUUUGAACUAUUUUGCCUUGAAUGAAAUAAAAUGCUCAUAUUUUUGUUAUCUAUUACUAAUCAAACUCUUUUAUAAAAAAAAAUACUUUAAACUAAAGAAACCAAGAAAAUUCAAUACCUUCUAAGUUAUUCAACUCCAAAUAUAAUUCUUUGAGUCGUGUCAGAUUUCCAAUACUUCUUGGAAUGAUCCCCCUCAAUUUAUUAUCGGAAAAUGCCAAUAUUUUAAGGUUGCUGCAUUUGCCCAUACUUGAUGGAAUGUUACCAGAUAAUUCAUUUUUAUUCAAGUAAAGCCCUUCAAGCUUGGGAAGAUGUUGACACAUAUCAUUAGGCAAACUACCUGAUAGGCUAUUGCUGGAGAGAGCAAUAGUCUUGAGAGAAUAAAUGUUGAAGAUCGAAGUUGGAAUUUGACCUGUAAAGCCUUUAAUUGCUUGAAUACUAAGCAUUUCCAAAUUAAAAAGAUUACCGAUUUCUUCAGGAAUUUGACCUGCUGACAUAGUCGAAACAUCAAGGUGUUAAAUUACCUAUUUUGUUAGUGUAAAUCAAAGAGGAUUUUUAUUUUUCUCGUUAUGAAAUAAUAUGGAUAUGUUAGAUUCUAAUCAUAUUUAAGUAUAUAUUAGUUCUUGAAAGAAAGAGUUCUUAGUAUUUAUAUUGCAAAUAUUUUUUUUAAAAUUUAAAAAAAGGGGGGGGGCAAAUGUGUUUAAACUAAAGAGAUCAAGGAAAAGGCAUACCAUCUAGGUUAUUUAACCCCAAGUAUACUUGUUUAAGUUGUGUCAAAUUCCCAAUGCUUUUUGGAAUGAUCCCACUAAAUUGAUUAAUAGACAAUUCCAAAAUUUGAAGGUUGCAGCAUUUGUCUAUACUUGAUGGAAUAGAACUUGAUAAUUCAUUUCUACUCAAGUAAAGCUCUUUAAGCUUGGGAAGAUGGACACACAGAUCAUCGGGUAAGCCACCAGAAAGACUAUUAUCACGAAAAUGAAUCCUUUUCAAAGAAGAAAUGUUAAAGAUGGAAGAUGGAACCAGGCCAGAUAAUUGAUUGAAUCCCAAGUUCAAGAUCUCUAGAUUGGAUAAGUUGACAAGUGUUUGAGGGAUUGUGCCUGUGAAGUUAUUAUUUCUCAUUUCCAACCUUUGAACUCUGUGCAAGUUCCCAAGCCAUGAUGGAAUUUCCCCAUUAAGACGGUUGUAGCUUAAUCGAAUGAUCCUCAAACGAUGCAAUUGGCCCAAUUCUUUAGGCAGAUGGCCAUAGAAAUUGUUGUUGCUCAGGUCGAGAGAAAAUAGAAAUGAAAGAUUUCCAAGGUGUGGAGGGAUAGUACCCCUAAGAUUCAUGUUUGUAAGAUUCAAAGCUACAACUCUUUCAUGGAUGAUGUCACAAGAAACACCAGCCCACUUACAAACAGAGGUAGAGUUCGUCCAAUUGUUUGCCAACACAUUUUGAGGAUCGACAAUGCGAUCUUUAAACUCAAAGAGUGCAAACUGAUAGGAGUUGAGAUUCCGGACUGUCAUAGCCAAGGAAACAAUGGAACAUUGUAAGAAUAAAAGUGAAAGAAGAUGAAAGCAAGUGUUGUAGUUCAUGAUGGCAAGACGAAAUAAGCCAGGAAAAGGGAAGUUGAAUUGAUGAAGAAAUACCCAGCCAACAUGCUUAAAUAGGCUUCAACCCUUGCACACUUCUCAUACAUAAAGUUCACUGCCAUUACAACAAGAAAACUCGUAUCUCCAUUCAUACCUAUCCAUACUUUAUUUGACUAACUUUUCCCUAACAGGUGUUCAGUAAGGAGACAAAUCACUUUGGAGCUAUUCACCGACUUCUCCAACCUUGGUUUCAAACUCCGUCCAACCUUGGUUUCAAACUCCUAGCCCAUCAAUUCACUUUAAUUGAAACGAUAUACACGAGUCUUUCGGCUUAUAUUUUUAACUUACUAAUUCUCUUUUUAAUUUAUUUUUUGUUACUUGUCAUAAUAUUUUUUGAGAAAUCCAAUAUUCCAGUCUGAAAUUUCUUCAUUGCCACGUCUAUCUCCUCGGUAAGUUCGUGGCUAGGCGGCCCACUUUGGGGGCAGGAUUGUAAUUUUAGUUCUAUCCGACUCAUUUUACUAUUUAGAAAUAUAAAAGUAAUAUUUAUUAAUUUUUAUAUUUUUAUAAAUUUAAAUUUAAUUUUAAUUUUUAAACAAUAAAACGAGUCAUUUUUAUUUGCCUAGGCCAAAUUGAAUCAGGAGUGAAAAUUUUUUUAAUCAUAAUUUACUAUUAUUUUAAUUAAUUAAAUUUUAAUUUACUAUAACUAGUAGUUGCAAAAAAAAUGACAUUCCUUUAGAAAAAUGAGAACUUAUGAAGCAUUCAAUAAGAGUUGUUGGAAUACAUGGUAACGAAACCAUAAUUCGAUAUAAAACUAUAUAAAUAAUGUAAGAUUUGUGAUACCUAAAUUGUUAUGUUUUCUAUAAAUAUAUGGAGAUUUUUUAUUAGGAAAUAAUUUUAUAUAUCAACAUUUGUUAUUUUCUUUUGAUAGAAAUUUAAUUAUGUUAUCUGUAGAAAAAAAUAUUUAUAGAAAUAUCAUUAGUAGAAAAUCAUAAAUUUGUGUGUGGCAAAAAAUUUUCACCACCAAGAAAGGGACAAAUUAAACAACUUGAAAGUCAUUGGUUGUUUAAAAUAUUAGAUAAUAAUUUUAGUGAAGAAUCAUUAAAAUUAUGACAAAAUAACCCUAGAUAUUGUAGUAUUAAAUUAGAAAAUCUCAAUAAUAUUAUUAGAGUAAAACCUAUGAUGUAUCUAAACAAGAUAUAGAAGAAUUUGAUAUACAAAUUAAGGGUAGAAAUCAUACGGAAAUAAUAAAAAACAAGAAAAAGCUAGUAUGGUCAUUAAUUAUAAAAGAUUAAAUCAAAAUAUUAUUUUUUGUAGUUACUUGAAUUAAUCAGGAUAAACAAACAAAAUAUUUUAGUAAAUUUGACUGUAAAUCAGGAUUCUAGUAAAUCAUGCUAACAGAAAAAUCUAAACCUUUAACAGCUUUUAGUGCACCCAAUGGACAUUACCAAUGAAAAGUGAUGUCAUUUCAAUUAUGUGAUGCACCACAAAUCUUCCAAAGACAAAUAGAUUUUAUAUUUAAUAAAUAUAAAAAAAUACUAUGUAGUUUACAUAGAUGAUAUUUUGAUAUUUUCAGAUACACUAGAAUUACAUAAGAAACAUUUAAAUAUUAUUUCUUAAGAAUUCAUAAAAUAUAGAAUCAUAUUAAACCCUAAAAAUAUAGAGUUAGAAAAAACAGAGAGAAUUUUUACAAUAGUGGAAAUAAAAAAUUGUCCUCAAUUUUAUUACAGAAAUUUCUUUGCCGACAAUAAGAAAAGAGCAUAUUCACAUUUUCGUCGCAAUUUCAACUAACACCCAAUCUCUUUCCCACUUUCCUUUUUCGGCCAAUUUCAAACGUAGCUGUUUUUCGAUUUUUCCUCUUGAUUUCAUUAAUAAAAUGAUCAAUCUAUUUGUUUUUUAAAUAUAUGAUUUUAUUAAUAUUUUUUAAUUAUAAUAUAAGAGUUGUUGUUUAUUUAUAGUUUUAUUACAUUAUUUAAUCUCUUUUUUAUAUCAAGUUUUUUAAAUUAUAAUAUAAGAUUUAUUUUAUCAAAUUGUGGCUUAUCAAAUGUUCAUCUAUUUUAAUAAUAACUUGAGUUCGAAUCAUUAUCAUACCAGAAAGAGUUCCCUUUAUUCUUUAUCGUAAAUUUUAUAAGAAAUUAUAUUUUAUUACAAUACUAUAUGUGUUAGAAUAAUAUUUUAUUGUGGAUGCCCAUAAUUCUCGAAGUUGUAACCUCGAAUGUAGUAACCUCAAUGAAAUUAUGAGGCUUUUAUAUUGUAAUCAAGCCUCUAUCUAUUCUUUGUAUUCUUUGUAGAAAAUAUGAAGUUGAUUUUACUUUAUUAAAAAAUUUAAAAUAAAUUAUCUUGUUUUUUUUAAAUGAGUUAACCAAAUUAGCAUAUUUAUUUUGAUCUAAAAUUAUCCAAAAUAAUAUAAAAUAUUAUAUUAAUAAAAUUAAAACUAUGAAAUAAUUUUUUUUAAAGAUUAUUAUUUACUUUUAUCAAACAAUACAAUUAUAUUCAGUACUUAUAUUUACUAGUUUACCAAACAGUUUUCCAAUAUGAAUUCAACACUUAUCAAAUUCAGUAUUAAAAAUUCAGUGCUUAAUUUUUUAGCACUUAACUUUUCAAUUCAUCAAGCACGUCUAAUUCAAUUUAUACAAUUCCCUAUUUGUAUCUCUAUGAAUUUAUAAAAUCCUUCUCGCAUUUAGUUGUUGGGAUCUUUAUAUGAAGAUAGAUGCUUUUAUUUUUUAUUGGUUCACUUUUAAUUGUAUUGAUUUAUUUAAUUUUAAUUUUGAUUAAUAUAUAUGAUUAUUGUGGAAUGGGAGUAAAAGUAUUUACUUCUCAUAAACUUUGAAAUAUUCACCCUGUCUACAUAUUAAUUAUUGUAAAAUUUGAAUUGAAAUUAUGCCAUAAAAGGUGGAGGUUAGAAAACCUCUUAUUGAGACCUUAUAAUAUUUUGUAAUUUUUUGUGUUAUGGUAUAUAAAAAAAUAUCUAACCAUAGUGAUUGAUUAGUAAUAUAAAUUUGUUAUUUGUUAUGUUUAAUAUAUAUUUUAUUUAUACUUAUUCAUUUUAUUUUUAUAUGAGUAAAUGAAGUGUUUGAAGAUUCGAAAUUUUUAUCAUCCAUGUUGAAAAUAACUGCAAAAGUGUAUAUUAUUUAAAAUAAAUUACGCAUUCAUUAAUGUUAUGUGAUAAAAUCAUUACAUUUUCUGAAGAACUAAUAUUGCAUCAAACUGUAAAAAGCUCUUGAAGAGCUAAUAUUUAUCUCCCUGUGAUGCAAAAUCUUGUAAAACAUGAUAUUAUUUUUCAAAUCAAGAAGAUUUAUGUUGAAGGAAAUAUUUAUGUGUUUUACAUUAAAACCAUGGAUAGAAAUGACAUGAGACACUCAUGUAUUUGCAUUAUAAAUAUUCCUUGAAGGAAUACACUUCACUUGUAUGAUUGACAUAUGAGAUAAUAGCAAGAAGUUUAUAGUGUUGGUAUGGCCGGCUAGACCAUCUCAAGUCAAUAAUGAUGCAAAAUAAUUUGAAGAGAAUUUAUAUGAUUUUAUUGAAGAAUGAGAAGUUAUUUUCAUUUUGAUAAUUGUCAUCAACAAUAGUUCUUUGGAAAAAAAAAUAUUGAACUAACAUCAACUAAAGUUAGAGGUUGGUUCAUGGUUGCAUUUUUUGAUGAUAUCCAAAUAAUAUAUGAGCUCAUGUAUCACAUGUAUGCAACCCAAAGUUUACAGUAUUAUUUCUUGAAAUAAUUUGAUUCUACACAAUCUCUAUAGCAUGCAAUUUGUGCUAACAACACUGGUGCAUUAUAUCCUAAGCUUGAUUUUCGUAGUUUUAGCUGAGAUAAUAUUAAGUUGUCUAUGCCUAUAUAUAUUAUACUUAAUGGUUAGCAAAAUUAUGCCUCCAUUUAAUUGCUUAACCAUUAAUAUAAGAAUAGCUUUAAAAUAAGCAUGUAAUUUUAUUUGCAUCGAGCCAACAUGUAAGAAAUAUUUGUCCCAUGAGAAUUAGCUUUUAUUUAUAAGCCAAUAGGUUUCAUUUAUGACUAUUUGGAUGUAAAAUAUCUAUUUUAUAUUCCACCAUAAUGCACUAAGAUGGACCAUCAAGUAUGAAGUUGAGAAAAAUUAGAAUUUUUAUUUGAUGGUAAAAGUUGCAAAGAGAUAUAUAUUUAUAAUUUUGAAAAAAAUAGUCAUGUUGCAAAUUUUCUCAGUAUUAGAGGGAGACAAGUUGGACAAAUACGUAUAAUUAUGUCAUCACUUUUUGUGACCCCUCACUAAUCUUAUGUGCACAAAGUUUGAAGGAAAAAAAUAAUUUGCUAGACAUGUUUAGUGAUGACAUUUAGAGAUUGUAUAUAUUGGAUGAUACAUAUACCAGCUAAAAUGUUCCAAAUAAUUAUGCGUCCUAGAAGGACAAAGUGAUAAAAAUAAUUUUUGGGCACGCUAGAAGGAUGAAAAACUAGUUGGUUCUAUAAAUAAAAAAAUUCUUGACAGAAAAGAGUAAGAAAUGAAUAUGGCCACACGUUAAAGGAGACGAGUACUCAUGAAGAGACCCAAGGUAUAACUUUUAAUAAAACCCCAAAAGAGGUUCAAUACAUGAAAUUAUGAAUAUAAUAAGUGUAAUAACCAAAUUUUUCCCGGGCCCAAUGCCAAACAAAUAAAACCCAAACCAAAUAAAUAAAAUAAGAGUCCAAAUUAUAGUCCAUUAGGGCCCAAUUCAGACCAGCCCACUAUUCAAUCAGACCAGCCGAACAACAAAAAAAAAACCUAGUAGCCCACAGCCCAACUAAGCCUAAAAAAUUUUCAGCAAAAGAAAAAACCCUAGCUGCCAUGCUAGCCGCCGCUCCUGCCCUAGCCUCUGCCCACUAUCGUACGCCACCUCUGCCAUCACCAUUAGCCUCUGACACCUGCAAAACAGCAAACAACAUGCAACAACAGAGAAGAAGACGACAAGCAAAAAACAAAUCACUAAAGGACAAAAAUAAUGAUAACAAAUAGCCUUAGUUUGGCUAUAAAAGCACAAAAAUGAAAACUUUGUACUUCUUUGGCAAGAUUAAUACAAAAAAGAAAAGAUUUGAACUUUUUAGGGUGAUAUUUCAUUUUUUUUUACGCUUUAGAUCUAUUUUUUUAUUUCAUCUUCAUCUACGAAAAUAAUAGAAAAAAGACUUUGAUUUCAAGGUGAUAUUUUGUUGUUUUUUAGAUCUAGUGUUUUUUUAUUUAUUUUUAUCUACAAAAAUAAAAAAAAAGGAAAAGAGAAACGUACCUAAUUCACCCCAUGGCUCCGUCGACGGAAGUCCCAUCGCCAUCGUCGGAAUCGGGCUUAAAAGGGGAAGGUUUUUAUUUUUCUUUACUUUUUUUUUGGAUUUUUCGUCUCAAGAAAUGGACUAAGGGAGGGGAAAUGGCCAAAAUGGUCUUUUUCCGAUGAACUCUGGCAACCACAUGUGGCAGUUAACAGUGCCGGUGCUCGGUGGCUGCGGUGGAGCCAUGGUGGUGUCCCAUGGCCGGAUCUAGAGAGGAAGCCUUUGAGAGGGAGAGAGUUUCUAACAUUUUUUUUAUUUUCUAAGGCAGAAAUGAAUUUUUGAAAAAAAAAAGUUGGGUUUUAUAAGUGCGUGAAAUGGCGCCAUUUUGCGCAAGUGCACAUCGACGUCGAAACGACAUCGUUUACCCCUUUACCCGCUCGCCCGAGUCUGGCUCGAUGAAGGUCCGCAUAUUUUCAUGCCUGAUGGGUUAUUUCCCUGCCCGAUCCUUCCGCUUUUGGGCUUCUUCUCAAUCUGGUCCUGAUCCUACUUUUUCCCGCCUUUUAAAUUGUACCAUUUAAUUUCAUUUCAUUUUCAACUCGGUCCCUCGGCUGACCAAAGGAAAUGAUGCGCAUAAAGUUAAGGGAUAUUUUCCCUUUCAAUCCCCAAUAUUUUUAGAGCGAUGCAUUUUAAUCCCUAACCUUUCAUUCCAAUCUUUUACACAUAUUAUUUCAUUUUAUUCGUUUAUUUAUUGACUUAUCAUUUUUACCCUCUUUUUAUACUUAAAAAUAUAUAUUAUUUACACUAUUACUUGCAUUUUUUUACUAUUAAAUUAUUAUUUUUAAUGUAUUAUAUUCCCAUUAUUUUACCAUUUUAUUUAUUUUGAUACUUUCAUGUCACAUUUAUUUAUUUUAAUAUUGCCAUUAUUUAUUUUAUUUUAUUCUUAUGUUUUUUAGUAUUUUAUUAUUUCUUUUAUUGUUCACGGUUUUUUUUUCAUGUUAUACAUUUUUAUCUUUCUAAUCAUGCAUUUUUCCUUUUUUUAUUUUGUUUUAGGUUACGUUAUUUAUUAUUAUUAUUAUGAUAAUAUUAUUAUAAUUAUAUUACCAUUAUUAUAGAAUUCCUUUAUUUGUAUAUUCCAUUAUAACUAUUAUUAUUAUUAGUAGUCUUUAACUCACUUCUAUUUUUAUUAUUAUUUUUUAGAAUAGUAGUCAACAUGCUUAUCCUUAUUGUUAUUUGGUGUUGUUCUUAUGAUUUUAUCAUCAUUAUUGUUGUAUUUCAUUUUUUGUUCACUCUUUAAAUAUUUUGUUCAUAUAGUUAUUUUACACUAUUGCAAUAUUGUUGCAUUACGCAUUAUGUUUCUUAUAUAAUAAUUAUUUUGCUUUCACGCGAUGUUCGAAUCAAUUAAACAUGAAUCUUCUCAAUUAUUACAUUAAUUGUUACUUAAGUUCAAAAAGAAAAUUUUCAAAAUAAGGCAAUAUUUUGCGUUUUGGAAAUUCGAGAAAUCAUACCCUAACUUACGAGGUUUCGAUUUUCUCGUUAAACUUAAAUAGCAAAAUAUUCUUUUAAAUUUCAAAAUGCAUGCAAUUUCAAUAAAAAUCAAAGGCAAGCUUAUUCUCUAAGGUUCCAAAUAUCGCGUCCUAACUUACGGGAUGUGACAUUUCGUUACCUCGAGACGAGUAGGUCUUCAACACUCUUUUCGAUUUAUUCGAGCGUUUUUAAUAACAUUAAUAAAAAGGGAUCGUAUUUUAAAUUUCUAUUCAAGUUUUCAACCUUGGACAUUAAGACAUUACUUAAUCAACUAGGUACCACCUUUGGGUGUAUUGAGGGUGUGUUUUCUAGAUUUUGUAGACCAAAUAUUAUCGUUUUUAGUAAAUUUAAAUUUUUAUUAAAAUGAUUAAAUUACAAGUGUUGACACCAUUUUUUCGAUGAAAAACGGGGUCGACUUGGGUUUUAAAAAAAAUGAAAAACGGGAGUCGCCACCAAUCCUUUUUGAUAAGGUGUGAUUGGGUCACCUUGAAAAAUGGUUGUUUUUAAUAAAUGAUUUGAUUUUAUUAAAACAACGGUUUUGGUCCAUGAAAUUUAGAAAACGGGUUCGGGAGUCGAUUACGUACGAGGAAGGAUUAGCACCCUCGUAACGCCCAAAAAUUGGUACCUAGUUGGUUAGCUAAUGUCUUGAUGUCGAAAAUUGAGAACUUGGAAAAAAUUAAAAAUACGAUCCUUGUAUUAAAAUGAAAAUUUUAGGAAAAGGGGGGGGCAUACUUCACGCUAAUCGAGAAAGAGAAUCAUAUCCAGUAAGUUAGGACACAAUGUCUCGAAUUCCCGAUACGCGAAUGAAUGCCAAAAUUUUACUUAUUUAAAAGACAUUUUAGCCGUCUCGAAUUUAAAAAUGAAAUCACGACCAGUAAGUUAGGACGUGAUUUUUUAAAACUUGAGUUUGAAAAGAUUCGUGCAUCUAGAUUUAUCGUGAAAAUCAAUACCCAGUAAGUUAGGGUACGAUUUUCUUGAAUUUAAACACGAAAUGCCAUUUUUUAAAACAAAUUUUGUUAUAUCGAGUGAAAUAAAAACACAAAGUCGUAGUAAAAAAAUGUGUAAGCAAAUUACAUUGUUAUGCAUGGCAAAAUCAUAAUGAAUACAAAAGUAUAAAAAUGAUACGAGCAAUAAAAACAAUAUAAAAUAAAUAAAAGUCAAACCUACAAUAAUAUUAAAUAACAAUGUAUAUAAACAAAUAAAAUUAAAACAUUCAUUCAAAAUAAUAAUGAAAAUGAAAUAAAUAAAUAGUAAAUACAAAAUAAAACAAUAGUAAUGAAUAAAAAUAAUAUAAUAUAUAUAUGUAUGUUAGAAUUAUAAAGUAUAAAAAUAUACGUAUGUGUAUAUAAGAAUAUGUAAGCAUGUAUAUAUACAUAGAUUAUAAAAUAUAGAUAUUUAUAUAAAAAUGAGUAUUUGUAUUAAAUAAGUUGAAAAAAUAUAUAUAUAUAUACCUACAUAUAUAUAAAAAAUUAUAUAAUAAUAACAAUAUAAUAAAACACAUAUAUCUAAAAUUUACAUAAGUAAAUAUAAAUAAAAACAUACUAAUAACAAUAAUAUUAAUAGUAAAAUGAUAAUACAUAAAAAUGAUGAAGAAAAUAAUAAAAAUGCUUAAAAGGGGACUAAAUCGAAGUAAGAACCAAAAAAAAAGGGGCAAAAUCGAAAUAAAGACAAGAGGGACUAAAUUGUAACGCGCGCUGAAAGAGGGGGACCAACAAGGUAAACAAACCAAAGCCUCAAAACGUUGCUCUGUAAAGGACUGAAAUGAGACAAAAAUAAAAUUUUGUGGCCAAAUUGCAAAUAUGCGAAAAACUUCCAUGAAAUCGCUACAAAAUCAAAGGGACUAAUUGCGCAAAUAGACCCUUAAACAAAAACGCGCGGAUCCUUGGGUGCGGGUCGGGUCGACGUGCGGAUCCCCUCACCAAAACGGCGUCGUUUUGUGUUUAAUAUAAAUAUAAAAAAAAGGGCUAAAAAAAACAGUUUCAUCAUUUUUGUUGAAAAACAAAGAGAAACCUCUCUCUUUUUUCCCUUUCUCAGGCUCAGAUUCCGGAGAUGGCCCGGCCUAGGCUUCUGGCGAAUCUCCGCCGUAGAGCCACCGUGUGUGGCGGCCGGAGGUCCAAAAUCGGACCUUUUCGGUCCCUUUUUGAAACUGAGAAUCCCUAGGGUACGGAUCUGGGACCAAACCCCCGAAAAAAAGAAUCGGAGACCUGAAGAACGAGGGGAAACCGCUCGUCUUCUCUCCUCCGGCGCGGCGCAGGUAAGGUUUCUUUUUCCUUUAUUUAUAUUACGUAAAAAAAACAUACAAAAAGAAAAAAAAAGAAAAUAGAGUUUAAAAAAAAUCUAAAAUAGAAAUGAGAGAAAAUCACCUCUCAAGUUUUCUUGUUUUUUAUUUCUUUUUGCUAAUAUCUGUUUCUUCUUUUUACAAAAGUUGAUGGAAGAAGAAAAAAUUACAUUUUGUUGGCUUUUUAUAGCCGACUUCUACUACUGCCUGUGUUAUUUGCUCUCUGUUUCUUUGUUUUGUUUCUUCUUUGCAGGUGACGGCGCAAGUGGUGGUGGUGACGUGACCGUGGCAGUGGCGGCGUGACGUUGGCGGCGGCGGCAGGCCAAAGGUCAAUAGGUGUGGAGCCUAGGGUUUUAGUUUUUGAAACCCUAGGCAGAUUUUUUUAGGGGAAUUGGGCCUUAGCUAUUGGGUUGUUCGGGUUUGGGCCUCGGGUUAGGCUAGUUGGGCUUUGAGGUUGGGUUGUUUUGUAAUGUGCUUUGGUGUUUGGGCUGGUAGCUGGUGGGUAAGGUUUAUUGUUUUGGGUUCUUGGGCCUGGUUCUGUUUGGUUAGGGUAAUGGGCCAUUUGGGUCUGGGCAUAAAAUUGGGCUAUACAACAAGGUGACCCGAUUACACCUCAUCAAAAAGGAUUGGUGGCGACUCCCAUUUUCAUUUUCAUUUCUUUUUAAAUCAAAGUCAACCCGUUUUUAAAAAAAAUGGUUUCGACAAUAAGAUAUAUUGAUUAGUUAUGUCAUAACUAAAGAUGAUGGAGUUGACAAAAGGAAAUUGUAGUUAACAACGAAUAAUCUACGUAGAACAUUUCAAUAUUAUGGAAAAAUGAGUAUUUACCAACCUUCUUUUAGUCAAAUUAUGCAAGCCUAAAAUUUUUAGCUUAAUUUGAGUUUGUUGACUAUGUCUAAUUCAAGUUUUAUUAUUAAGGACUAAAUUGUAACUUAAAAAAAUUAGAAUACCAAUUUAAAGAGACAAAAAUUCAAAACCCCAAAACCCACAUGGGCAUGUGGGUAAGUGACACAGGCGUGUGGAGACUGGAGCUAUCACACACGGGCGAGUGGGACAGAAAAAUAUGAAAUAAAUUAAUCCACUUAAAUUUCAAACAACCAUGCUAUACUACCAAACCAAAUAAUGCUAGAAGCUUUGAAUAGGGGUGAAUCGAAAAAAAAAAUAAAAGAAUUAGAAUUAAAUUAUAAAAUUUUCAGAAGUUAUCAUGUAUUAAUUUAUUAUUUUUUAAAGGGUCUUAAUAGAAUUUUUUUUUUCCAUUUUGGUUUGGCCAAUACCCCUGUCUACCUCUUUCAAUUUGCUUCAACCCUAAACCUAAUAUUCAAUUUGUUGUGGAAGUUUGACGCAUAAAAAUUUCUUUUUUAGAGGUUUAAAUUAUAAAUUUUUGAAAGUUUAAAAUAAAUUUUCAUUUUUAUUAACAAAAUAUAAAAGAAAAAAAACAUGUGUAGACAAACCAAGAAACCUUUGGGAUCAUACGGGUGAUUUUGAUGAUGUUAAUGGUUAUUUUGAUGGAGAGGGUGAAAAAGAAACAAAUGAUUCAUAUAUAUAAUAUAAUUAUGAAAUUCAAGCCAUAUAUUGUAUGUUUCAUCCAUAAAAAUUUCAUGGGAGGUCCGAAGGUAAUUAAAUGACUUGUAGGCUUGCUGAAUUUCUUUGAAAGGCCCAAUGGCAAUUUAACAUUCACAAAAUAAUCUCUAAAUACUGUAAAGACAAAAUCAAAUCCACAGCAGCAUUAGAGUUGAUUAAGCUAAGCAUUGGCAAAUAUUACUUUGAUUUUGCAUGCAAUAUUAGCAAAACCCCCUCUUACAUUAGAUAAACAACAUACUCCAUGAAACAUUGAUAGCCCAAAUACAAAUUUCAUCGACAAAAAAGUCUCUUUGUUUUGUAGAACAUGAUAGUAAAAAUGUGGAGUUUCGUUCUUCUUAUUGGCCUCCUUUAGUUUUCCUUGAUCAACAACCACUAGCCAAAAACACAAUUAGAUUAGAUUAUGAAUGAUACGUUCAACUAUGACAUUAUUAAAUAUAAAACACUCUAAAUAACUCUAAAUAAAUGGAAAGCAACAAAUUACCUAACGAGGCAAGCUAGCUCAAUUAAGACCAUUGUGUUAUACUUGUCUCUGAAUUGAAAAAUUUAGAAGGAAAUAAAGAGAAAGACUUAGAAAAUAUUUGAAAACAGAUAAAACUUAUAUGUCAUUUAAAAUAAAAAUUUUGUAUUUAAGCCGUUUAAAAUUUUUAAGAUUUUUGAAAUUUUAAAACGAUAAAGGUAAAAUUGUACUUUGGCACACCAAAAAUGAUAAAACUUUGAUUUAAUCCUUUAGAAAUUAUAAAAAUAUAGGCUAUUAAAAUGGUGAAAUUACCUUUUUACUAUAGUAAAAAUUACAAUUUAAUUUCACUUUAAGAUUUUCUGACUUCGCCCCUAAUAAAAUCUUUGGCAAAAGAUUAAAAUAAAAUUAUACCGUAAAUGGAAAAAGAAACAAAGAAAAUCCAAUCUAACAAAGAAAAUAACUUAUUUCCAAAAGCUACCAUAAACCGUAAUUCAUGGGAAGAGAGCCUAGUACGUGAGAGCAAAAGUAAAAACAAAUAGUUUAUAUGAUUAAAAUUCCAGAAUAGGUUAAAAAUGUUGAAUUAAAGAUAAAAUUAAGCGUGAAUUAAUAACCACAAGUGUACUCUUUACUCACCAUCUCUGUUAAAAAUGUUGGAUGUUGUUUAGCAACCUUUGUUUGAUUUUCUUCAGCUCAACCACAACAUCUUUCAUUUCUUUUCUUUCUUCUGGUAACUCAGCUGAACAAUUCAAAGCCAACUCCAUGAUAGAUGAAAUACAAUUUGCUUUAACAACAAUGUUCUCAUCCUCUCUUCUUAGUAAAUCAACAUCUGCAAUUUCUAUCGCUCCUUUAGGCAAUGAACUUUCCAUCCAAUGCCUUAUAGUCUCUUCUUCAACAAAAACAUUAUCAGUUGGCUUUCUCUUUGUGAAAGUUUCUAUAAGGACGAUCUCAUAACUAUAAACGUCAGAUUUUAUAGAAACAAGUCCUGCAGAUCCAAAUUCUGCAUUUCAAGUAUAAUUAGAACAUCAUCAGUCCUCAAUUAUUUGAUAAAUCUAUGUAUAUCCACAUACACGAGAAACAAAAAUAUAAAACGCAAAUUAGGAAAAUAAUCGUACAAAGAUAAAAAAAGAAUUCACCUGGUGCCAUAUACCCGAUUGUUGCAAGAGUCAUGGUUUGCUUCAUUACUUCACCUUCUCCCAACAAUUUGGCAACGCCAAAAUCUCCAACAUGUGCAACCAUGUCUUCAUCUAGUAAAAUAUUGCUUGGUUUUAUGUCACAAUGAAUUAUAGGGGUUGGAUGUCCAUUGUGGAGGUGUUCUAUAGCCACCGCAACAUCUAUCAUUAUGUCGACCCUUUGUAUGAUAUCAAGGAAACAAUUUUUAGAAUGUAACCAUUUCUCAAGGUUUCCAUUAGACAUGUAAUCAAGCACCAAGGCUUUGAAGUCAACACUUGAGCAGCAAGUAAUGACCUUCACAAUAUUACGAUGAACUAUAUUAAUCAUAGCAUCACAUUCAAUGUCAAAACUCCUAAAUGCUCCCUCUGUUUGCAAAUUGAAAACUUUUAUUGCAACUUCCAUUCCAUCUGAAAGCCUCCCUUUAUAUACAUAUCCAAAACUCCCUGAACCAAGCAUAUUGCUUUCCUCAAAUCCAUUAGUUGCUCGUGAAAGUUCAGCAUAUGAAAUUCUUCUCGGUGUCUUCAAAGACAACAAAUCAUCUUUAAUUGGUAGAGCUGUAUUAGCUAAUGUUUCAAAAUUUAAUGUUGGUUCAUUAGAACCGUAUAAACCGAGACCCAAAAACUCCUUCUUUGGCAUCUUCUAUACAUAAUAGUUAAGACUAUUAGUACUACGACAAUACCAAUUGUUGGUAAACCAUACCUAAAAGCAUGCAAUAUAAUCGUUUGGGAGUUUUUGUGGAUGUCGUUUUUACAAGGUGGGACUAGCAAUCUAGGUGGACCACAAAGUGCAUAAUUCUUCAUGAAUGAUGUGCUAGAAAAGUUUGAAAAACAUCCUUCACUGGGAAUUUCCCCUUCAAGUCUAUUGAAAGACACAUUAAAAUACUUUAGAUAUAAAAGCUUUUCCAAAGAUUUGGGAAUGACUCCAGAGAGAUUGUUAUUGCAUAAAUCCAAGAAUUCCAAACUAAUCAACCCAUCAAAUGAUUCAGGGAUAUGACCAUGUAGUAUAUUAUUUGAUAAAUCUAAUGAAACCAAAGUUAUAAGACCCCCAAAUGUGGAUAAGAUAUCGCCCGUGAGAAGAUUCCUUGAUAAAUUUAGUUUCAGUAGACUCUUCAAAUUUCCAACAUCAAUAGCAUGUGAAUUGUGAAGAUGGUUUGAUGAUAAGUCUAUUUCUAAGAUAUCUUUAAGAUUCCACAAAGUUGAGGGUAUUGUAGAACUCAAUUUGUUGGAAUCUAAGUAAAGAUAUCCCAAAGAAGUAAUAUUACCCAAACAAGAGGGUAUGGAUCCAUGCAGCUUAUUCAACCCUAAAUACAUCUUGUAUAGUCUCUCCAAAUCACAAAGGCUUUCUGAGAUGGGCCCUCCUAAUUUAUUAGAGGAAAGAUAUAGACCUUGGAGAUUUCUCAUUCCUCCUAUUGAUGCUGGAAUCAAUCCACUUAAUUUAUUAUAGUCAAGUUGUAAAAGCAAUAGGUUGGUUAAGUUACCUAUUUCCAUAGGAAUAAUGCCUUGAAGCUCACACUCAUCGGCAUAAAAGUAUUGAAGGGAUUUUGAAAGGUUCCCAAUAUAAGUAGGAAGAACGCCACUCAAUGGAUUUCCUGAAACAUCUAUUGUGCUCAAAUUCCUACAAUUCGUCAAAGAAGAAAUAAAGCUCCACUCAUGAUCAGUAGAAGAUCCUGUGAUCAAAUUAUUGUCAAAGAUUUUGAGCACUUCAAGGUGUCUUAAGUUGCCAAGCGUUUUAGGGAUUGGGCCAGAGAAUAAGUUAUGCGCCAAGUCUAGUUCCUUAAGCAUGGAAGCAUUGAAGAUAGAGUUGGGAAUGUUUCCGCUAAGUUUAUUUCUCCACAAUAAAAGAAUCUCAAGCUUUGGAGCAUUGGUGAUUGGUGGUAAAUCACCUGUGAAAUAGCAUCUUUUAGUAUACACAUUCAUUGAAUACCAAAUUCACAAAAUAUAUAAUACAUUAAAAUAAAAACUGUAAAACUUUAAAUCAAUUAAGAAUAAAAUUUUGGCAUGGAAAAAUGUGAUGAAAUCAAUUAGAAAGUUGAGACAUAAUAAGAAGUUUUGAGUAGUAAUUACUCAUGAUUUC